CAUGUAGCAACUUUAUAUAUUAGUCUCACUCUCACCCAUCUACAUUCACUUCAUUUCUCAGCUAUUCCUAUUGUAAUUUAUGCUCUGUAGCCUUACUCACUAUCAACAAGCAUGAGGUUUAAGAGGAUUUGUCUAGCAAACCUUAAAUGGCGUCUUAUUCACUAUCAUUGGCUUAAAGAACGUUAUGAAUAUCACGUGUUCUGGAGCUUUAAAAUGACGUGCAUUGAUUUUAUUGGUCAUGGAGUGGUAUACUGAUCGAGCAUGGAUGUAUAAAAUGACCAAUAGUGAUGGAUUUAUUAAUAAGGAAUACUAUGACAAUUUGAAUAAGUGGUUAUACUUCGUCUUUUCUAAAGAUUCAAUUGUGGAUCGAAGGGUGACUAAGCGUCGUAAGAUAGUACCUAACAUCAGAUGCCCUUGUUUAAGAUGUCAAAAUUCCAUCUACUUAGAUAGAGAAACUGUUCAAGAACACUUGUUAAAAAGGGUUCCAUGCUUGAUUACUACACAUUGUAUGAGCAUGGUGAAACUUCCGUCUGUGUGGUAGGACAAUCUUCUACUAUGAGGGAACUUGAUGAUGAUGAUUAUGGUUGUA